rnacentral:tRNA from 2 species
CGGGGCGUAGCGCAGUUUGGUAGCGCGCCUGGUUCGGGACCAGGAGGCCGCAGGUUCAAGUCCUGUCGCCCCGACCA